GCAUUAGAGCCUAGCUGCUUUUGUCUACCGUAGGGAGGUAUACGAAUAAGGGCUGGGCAAGACCGGUGCCAGCCGCCGCGGUAAUACCGGCAGCCCGAGUGAUGGCCGAUCUUAUUGGGCCUAAAGCGUCCGUAGCUGGCCGCGCAAGUCCAUCGGGAAAUCCACCUGCCCAACGGGUGGGCGUCCGGUAGAAACUGCGUGGCUUGGGACCGGAAGGCGCGACGGGUACGUCCGGGGUAGGAGUGAAAUCCUGUAAUCCUGGACGGACCGCCGAUGGCGAAAGCACGUCGCGAAGACGGAUCCGACAGUGAGGGACGAAAGCCAGGGUCUCGAACCGGAUUAGAUACCCGGGUAGUCCUAGCCGUAAACAAUGCCUGUUAGGUGUGGCUCCCACUACGAGUGGGUGCUGUGCCGUAGGGAAGCCGCUAAACAGACCGCCUGGGAAGUACGUCCGCA
rnacentral:rRNA from 1 species